GGAACGGCCCUUCGCAGCAGGUGGAUGUGAACUCCGUCAGAUCCGGAAGGAAGCAGCGGUAAGCAUUUUUCCUGGGUGCCGCAGGUAGCCGCUCUCAG
rfam:Nitrospirae bacterium CG2_30_41_42 cg2_3.0_scaffold_1561_c, whole genome shotgun sequence.